CUCUCAGACAAAUGCCUC
rnacentral:snRNA from 1 species